GAUGAGAACGCAGCGAAAUGCGAUAAGUAGUGUGAAUUGCAGAAUUCAGUGAAUCAUCGAAUCUUUGAACGCACAUUGCGCCCCUUGGUAUUCCAUGGGGCAUGCCUGUUCGAGCGUCAUUUGUACCUUCAAGCUUUGCUUGGUGUUGGGUGUUUGUCCAUUCUCUUGCAGAGGGACUCGCCUUAAAGUAAUUGGCAGCCAGUGUUUUGGUUUUGAAGCGCAGCACAAGUCGCGAUUCAACGCUAUACGCCAGCUUCCACAAGCCUUUUUCACUUUUGACCUCGGAUCAGGUAGGGAUACCCGCUGAACUUAAGCAUAUCAAUAAGCGGAGGA
rnacentral:misc_RNA from 1 species